GCUUGUUGUACUGAGAUUUUAGGACUUUACAUACACCUCCUUGUAUAAUUCACAGUUUUUUGUGAUUAUAUAUUUGAACUGAAGGAUUUCUAUAAAUAAUCUUUUAUUCCCUCCUCUGUAGGCUCUCCUGCCUCCACAGACAUCAUUCAACGUCUCCAUCACUCGGUCUGGCUGUUCCACAGAUCUCAGCACUGUCCUGCAGGCUGAAGGAGCACAGAAAGGCAGUCUAAACCUGUCUCUAACUUGUGAUCCUCAGCUUAGUCUCCGGGCAUCUGUACAGCACUCUAUUGAGCCAAUAAAGAAGCUGCAGUUUCCUACCCACGGAGAGCUAUUCCUAAACGUCUCAACUGCCCUUCUGCCUGGUGUGGAGGUCGGCCUGGAGGUCGGACGUUGUUUUUUUAGGGGUAACGUAGGGAAAGUCAAGGCUUCACAGACAGAGACUGAGCAGACUUCUUACACUGUUAAUGUGAGCAGCUUCUGUCCUCCUCUGCAGGUGAGUAAAUCUGUCAGUUGUGUUUAAUACUGCUUGUUAAAACCUAAACUAAUAUGUUGAAGUUGUUGAAUCUCGCUGUCACCUUUAACUGUGGUGAUACAUACAUGUUUCUUUCAUCGCAGUUAGAAGAACUGGAAUUUCCUCUGUAACUCACUCAUGUUUAUGUUAACAUAGUCUCCUUUGAAAUACAGUUUCCAGCCCAUUAGAAGAUCAAACUUCACUUGUCAUAGAAGCAGAGCAGAACAACUCCACUGAUACAGCUACAAGCUUGUAAAGCUAUAAAAACAUUUUGAUGGGUAUUCGUCUCUCAGAAGUAAUGAUUAUGCUGCACCUGUGUUUGUGCCUUAGGAAAUGAAACUGCCUGUGUCCCUGGCUCUGCAGGGCCUACUCAAGGUUAUUCCUUGCCAGCUGACUCUGUCCGCCUCUGUGAGGGCAGAUAAUCAGAACCUCUCUUUAGACAUGAGCCAGUCCUGCAGGAGUCCAAACCUCUCUGGGGCCCUGACUCACUCCUUCCUCUGGCUGAGUGGUCAGGGUGUACCACAGAUCAUUUCUAUAGAUGGUAGUGCUCCUGAAGGCCCUGAACAGCCUGGAAGUCUAUUCAUCAAAGUUGGGACGUGUCACAUUAGAGCCACUCGAGUUAUGGAAACCAAAGGACGAAAAGAGUGGCUGCUGGCUCUGGAGUCUAUGUGCCCUCUGUUACAGGCUAAUAUAAAUGGCUCAGUGCAGCAGGAUACUCGGGGUAUCUGGACAGUCAUGCUGGGCACUGAUAUGGAGGGCAGAAGGGCUUUUCUGAGGCUUAAUGUAAGGGCCUGGCCAGAGCUCAGUGUGGAUGGUGAACUCAGCCAUGACCUUCCUGCCCUCAGAGAUCUGCCUAAAAACAGCAGACUGAGGCUAAGCAGCAGGUCAGGAAAACUACGAUUUGACGCCGAAGCCCUCGUUCAGAUGGAGGAGUGUGCCGUCACAGCCAGUGGAGCUGUGAUGUCCCAGCUGGGCCUGCAGGGGUCGCUGAUGUAUCACAACAACUGUACAAUGAUUCAGGAGUUGGGCAGUCCAGACAGGAUGCAGGCCUCUGGGUCCCUGGUUGUGUCCUCAACCUUUGCUGAAUCCCAGGUCUCAAUGGCGAUCGACAACGCCAGGUUGCAAACUUUAGUGUUGAUCAAUAAAACCAAGGUGUGGGAAUAUGUCAGAGAAAUUCAGAAAGUCCUGUCAGAAUUGCAUUUCAUUUUAUUGUGA
rnacentral:lncRNA from 1 species